GUCGCCAUCAUCACGGUUCAGCCGACCACGGUGCCGGUCGUCACUGAAUUGCCGGGCCGUACCAAUGCGUUCCUCGUCGCGCAGGUGCGUGCGCGGGUUGACGGCAUCGUGCUGCGCCGCGAAUUCGUCGAAGGCAGCCUCGUCAAGGCCGGCCAGCGCCUGUACAAGAUCGA
rnacentral:ncRNA from 1 species